rnacentral:rRNA from 1 species
UACGUAGGGAGCGAGCGUUGUCCGGAAUCAUUGGGCGUAAAGAGCAUGUAGGUGGAUCAGUUAGUCUGCUGUGAAAGUCAAAGGCUCAACCUUUGAAAGCCGGUGGAUACUGUUGAUCUAGAGUACGGAAGAGGCGAGUGGAAUUCCUGGUGUAGCGGUGAAAUGCGCAGAUAUCAGGAGGAACACCGGUGGCGAAGGCGGG